CCUCGCCUUUAUUACCAUCAUUUAGUUGGGUACUCUAAAGGAACCGCCGGUGAUAAGCCAGAAGAAGGUGGGGAUGACGUCGAUUCCUCAUGGCCCUUACGCGCUGGGCUACACACUUGCUACAAUGGCAACUACAGUGGGCAGCAAUCCCGCUAGGGUGAGCUAAUCUCCAAAAGUUGUCUCAGUUCGGAUUGUUCUCUGCUACUCGAGAACAUGAAGGCGGAAUCGCUAGUAAUCGCGGAUCAGCAUGCCUCGGUGAAUACGUUCCCAGGCCUUGUACACACCGCCCGUCUCACCUUGGGAGUUGGAUUCACCCUGAAGGCGUCGCGCUAACCGCAAGGAGGCAGGCGACCACGGUGGGUUUAGCGACUGGGGUGAAUUCGUAACAAGGUAGCCGUAGGGGAACCUGCGGCUGGAUCACCU
rnacentral:rRNA from 1 species